rnacentral:piRNA from 1 species
UACUGGCUGCAGCAGCAAUUGAUUGC